UCGGGAGUUACACAUGCAAGUCGAGGGGUAAGGUCCGCUUCGGCGGAUACACGACCGGCGCACGGGUGAGUAACGCGUAUGUAACCUACCCAUCAGCGGGGGAUAGCCCAGAGAAAUCUGGAUUAACCCCUCAUGAUAUCAUUUUGUGGCAUCACGUAAUGAUCAAAACUCUGGUGCUGAUGGAUGGGCAUGCGUGUCAUUAGCUAGUUGGUGAGGUAAGAGCUCACCAAGGUAACGAUGGCUAGGGGGUCUGAGAGGAUGGUCCCCCACACUGGUACUGAGACACGGACCAGACUCCUACGGGAGGCAGCAGUGAGGAAUAUUGCGCAAUGGGCGAAAGCCUGACGCAGCCAUCCCGCGUGCAGGAUUGACGGCCCUAAGGGUUGUAAACUGCUUUUCUGCAAGAAGAAGGAUAGCUACUUGUAGUUAUUUGCCGGUAUUGCAGGAAAAAGCAUCGGCUAACUCCGUGCCAGCAGCCGCGGUAAUACGGAGGAUGCGAGCGUUAUCCGGAAUCACUGGGUUUAAAGGGUGCGCAGGCGGAAUAAUAAGUCAGGGGUGAAAAUUCUCAGCUUAACUGAGGACUUGCCUUUGAUACUGUUAUUCUUGAGUGCAGUUGAAGUGGGCGGAAUAUAGCAUGUGGCGGUGAAAUGCAUAGAUAUGCUAUAGAACACCAAUUGCGAAGGCAGCUCACUAAACUGUAACUGACGCUGAGGCACGAAAGCUUGGAUAGCAAACAGGAUUAGAUACCCUGGUAGUCCAGGCUGUAAACGAUGAACACUCGCUGUUGGCGAUACAGAGUCAGUGGCAGAGCGAAAGUGUUAAGUGUUCCACCUGGGAAGUACGAUCGCAAGGUUGAAACUCAAAGGAAUUGACGGGGGGCCCGCACAAGCGGAGGAGCAUGUGGUUUAAUUCGAUGAUACGCGAGGAACCUUACCUGGGGCUUAAAUGCAAAACGCUUUAUGGUGAAAGCCAUAUUUCUUCCGGACGU
rnacentral:rRNA from 1 species